CGGGGUGUGGCGCAGCCUGGUAGCGCACCUGGUUUGGGACCAGGGGGUCGGAGGUUCAAAUCCUCUCGCCCCGACCA
rnacentral:tRNA from 1 species